GGGAGUGUGGAGAGAUGUGAAGGCAACAGCAGGAAUAAUGAUAAGAUUGGUUGUGAGGUACUGUAUAGAUGAGAUGGAUAGGACCAGAGAUGCACCUGAGAGCAGGAGGAAAAGGAGAGGAAAAUGGUCAUGUGGGUGCCAGAUAGUACUGCAUAACCUCUCCUUUUGAAUUUGAGGUACCUGCGUCUGCCAAGAGUAGCUUUUCCAUUUCACAACCAUCACACUUUCCUGUGAGUUCAGAGUUAAUGAAGACAUGUGGAUGCAAAAGGAAAACUUGCAGAGCAAAGUCAUUGCCAAACAGGUUGUGUAGCCUGACCUGUGAAACAUUGUGAAGAAGGAAGAUCGCAGUUUCAGGGAAGAUGACUCGAUAACACCACAGAACAGCAGCCACUACUCACCACUCCGGCUAGGCUGGUUUCCCUGCCAUGGAGCUCGCCAUUCUUCGUCCUGUCACAAGCCAUUCACUGAUGAGCCAGGGGAAGCCGCAGAAGUUUCCAGAUCAGAGAAGUGCUGUGAUCUAAUUUGAGCUGUAACCACAAUAAAGAUAAGUUUUUAUAAUAGGAUAUUGGUUUAGGAGCUUUAACAAUGAGCAAAAUAAAAGUGCCUGAAACAAAA
rnacentral:lncRNA from 1 species